GAUGAACGCUGGCGGCGUGCCUAAUACAUGCAAGUCGAGCGAACAGACGAGGAGCUUGCUCCUCUGACGUUAGCGGCGGACGGGUGAGUAACACGUGGAUAACCUACCUAUAAGACUGGGAUAACUUCGGGAAACCGGAGCUAAUACCGGAUAAUAUAUUGAACCGCAUGGUUCAAUAGUGAAAGACGGUUUUGCUGUCACUUAUAGAUGGCUCCGCGCCGCAUUAGCUAGUUGGUAAGGUAACGGCUUACCAAGGCAACGAUGCGUAGCCGACCUGAGAGGGUGAUCGGCCACACUGGAAGUGAGACACGGUCCAGACUCCGACGGGAGGCAGCAGUAGGGAAUCUUCCGCAAUGGGCGAAAGCCUGACGGAGCAACGCCGCGUGAGUGAUGAAGGUCUUCGGAUCGUAAAACUCUGUUAUUAGGGAAGAACAAAUGUGUAAGUAACUAUGCACGUCUUGACGGUACCUAAUCAGAAAGCCACGGCUAACUACGUG
rnacentral:rRNA from 1 species